AAAGAGGACGAUUGGCAGUAGUUAGCUCAGGGCUAAUCUUCCUCAAAAAAAAAAAAAGUUUCUUAAUAAUGGACGUGUUACUUUUUAACUCAGGAUAAGAUAAAAUUUAAAAAAAAGAAGCUUGUUUAUGAUAUAAAGGUGGAGUUGAGAACUGGGAUAUAAUGCAGGUAAGUCAUACCCAAUGGAAUUUACUGCAGAGCCGUGUGUUUUCAUCCCUCCAUUGACAAGGUGGACAUUCACGCGGGUCCAAGUCAGGCUGAGUUUGCCUGGUGACCAGCUCUUUCUUCUGACCAUCACCUCUGGGAUGUGAGUUGCUGUCAGUGGCCCUGCUGUGGGGACCAGGGCCGGUCACAAGGUCUGCUGCAAGCCCAGGAGAGUCCCCAGUGAUCCUGCUCCAGGGCCAGAACAUCAGCAUACCGGUGACUCCGUGUGGCUUUGUUUCCUGGGUGUAUCUUGUAGGUAGCCUUGUAGACUCAUCGGGUCAUAUUCUGAUCCCUGGGAAUCUAUGACCACGUGGCUCCUCUUACUGAAGAGGAAAAAAAAAAUGUACGAAGCCAUUGACCUGGACCUAGAAGAAUACCGGAAUAGCAGCCAGGUUAAGAAAUUUCUGUUUGACACCAAGGAGGAAAUUCUAAUGCACCUAUGGAGGUACCCAUCUCUUUCUAUUCACGGGAUUGAGGGCGCCUUUGAGGAGCCUGGAGCUAAAACAGUCAUACCUGGCCGAGUUGUAGGAAAAUUUUCAAUCCGUCUAGUCCCUCACAUGAACAUGUCCGUGGUGGAAACACAGUGUUUGGAACAGAACCAGAUAUGAUCCGGGAUGGAUCAACCACACCAAUUGCCAAUAUAUUCCAGGAUGUUAUCCAAAAGAGUGUGAUGAUGCUCCCGCUGGGCACUGUGGACGAUGGAGAGCACGCGCAGAAGGAGAAAAUCAACAGUGAGCAGGUUCUUGAGGGGGCUGAUCUCUCAGUGUGCAAACCACAGGGUGUCCACAUCAGUAACCUUCCGACAUGCUGCAUAUUUUAGAUUGAAUUUAUGUCAUCAAAUCUUCCUGUUUAAAUUGUAGACUACUUUUCCUCCAUUAUUUGAA